rnacentral:misc_RNA from 1 species
GAUGAAGAACGCAGCGAAAUGCGAUAAGUAAUGUGAAUUGCAGAAUUCAGUGAAUCAUCGAAUCUUUGAACGCACAUUGCGCCCGCCAGUAUUCUGGCGGGCAUGCCUGUUCGAGCGUCAUUACAACCCUCAGGCCCCCGGGCCUGGCGUUGGGGAUCGGCGGAGCCCCCCGUGGGCACACGCCGUCCCUCAAAUGCAGUGGCGGUCCCGCCGCAGCUUCCAUCGCGUAGUAGCUAACACCUCGCGACUGGAGAGCGGCGCGGCCACGCCGUAAAACACCCAACUCUUCUGAAGUUGACCUCGAAUCAGGUAGGAAUACCCGCUGAACUUAAGCAUAUCAAUAAGCGGAGGA